GUGUGACCCCACAGGUGUUGUUUGACCUUGGAUUCCAACAUGCGUGUCGUUUUUGUUGCCGCUAGAAUGAAGAAAGAUAUGAAGCCCCGAGUGUCUGCGCGGGGGGAUUAUAAAUCCUGUUGACGCAUGUCGCCAAGGCUGGGAAAGCUUCUCCACCAUGCCCUGUCAGAAAUACCACACUCACCGAUACAGACAAACUCUCUGUCCUCCCACAUGUUUGACUCGCUGUGUGUUGUGUCUCCACAGGCAGAGAUAGCGGCAGUGCCAGCAGGAUUAAAUUCACUGAGACGAGCCUGGUUCCAGACCAUAGACCCCGCCCACUCAACUGAGUAGGCUUGCAUCUCUGGUCUGGCAUACUGCAAUGAAUUUUCGAUUUGGAAGGACCAAUGAACGCCGGGGGUGGGGGCGGGUCUAGCGAUUAGCCAAUCAGCGCCACGCUGAUGUCAAGCUGUGCGCCAGUGGGUAACUGGUGAGGAUAGCAACAAUGGCGACCGCUACAGAUCCUACAGACCACAUUAACGAUGCUGUCGAGGUAUUUCGCCACUACUCGCGUUAAUGGAGGACCAAAUUAAGGAAGCUGCUCAACUGGAUUUAACGGCGAUGCAGCUGGGCGUGCACGACGACGGAGACAUUUUAAACGGGCAAUGCUCGCUUGUUUUCGGCACCCCCGAGGCAUGGAUACUAAUGACGUCAGAUUCUGGAUAUUGAAAGGGAAGAAGACUUCACCCCUCCUUCCCUUGUGGAACAAAAACACAGCGUGCAUGUUCUCUGUCGAGACAUUGAUUUAGUGCCAAGGGGACAGGAGCCGAGAGGUCAGGCUCUUUUAGGGACGUAUUGAGUGAAGGGACCGUCCUGUUCUGUCGGCUCUCAGAGCAUCAUGUACUCACACAAAGGCUCAAUGUUUGCAUCUUAUGCAUCCCUCUAAAUGCGUCCCACACUGUCAGGAGAGGAGCUAAAAAUAGCCCGGAUGAAAUGUUUCAAGGCCUUCGGGGUUGAGCGAGAGAAGCACAUUGGUCCUGCUGAGCGCUCACUGUUAAAGGUUUAAAGGUUUGUACUAUUUUUUCCAUGUAACAGGAAUAAUGUGAGGAACACUGUGUAGGACACGAAUAAGGACAACAAAAAGAACAACUUUACAGCUGAGGUGAGUGAAAACAACCAACCAGGAAAUCAUCCCGGGGUUCUUCAUCCCCAGCUAAUAACAAAUUGCAUUUUCAGAUUGAUUUCUUCCUUCCAGGCAUUAUUUUCUGUUAAUGUAACUUCAGCAUGAAAUUAAAUUUGAGACUUAAUUAAGUGAGGUAAUUCAUUUAAGUAAACAAUAUUCUGCUUUAGUUAUUUAUGCUUUUGUUGCACGGUAAUACAGCUGUGAGCAAGGACUGUUUCAAAAUAUCAUCAUUCUUAGUUUGUUCGAGGAGGCUUUGGUAUGUCAGGAGACAUUUCUUAAAAGAUCAAACCGCAAUGUGAAGAUAAUUAAAUCCUCCAUGAUGUGUUUAUACAAUAUAUAUUGAUAUAAAUGGCCGAAAUAAAUGACAAUAAAGGUUAGGUUUAGGCACAAAAACAACAUGGUUAUGGUUAGGAAAAGAUCAUGUUUUGGCUUUAGAUACCUGGUUUUGCUGCCACUAUCCUGGCAGGAAGUGCAACAAUGUCUCGGUGAAAAGGCAAUCACUUUUUGUAGCCCUGUCCUCCAUGGAAACAAAGCGACAGAGCCAGUGGUGUACGGAUAGGCCCCAGUGCAUUGGCUGCCCUCUCAGCUUUUGCAAAAUCACACAGUGUCUUCCAUUCCCUACAGUCGGCAGGGUGUCCAUCUUUCUUUAUGUAAACUUUUCUGCAGUCUUCUUUAGUAGUCUUUCAACUUCCUGGCAUUUUCCAACACAGUCUUUGUCUGUUAUGGUAAAAGUAAUCACCAACAAAUUUUCAUCCCUUGGUUUCUCAAGCCUCACAAUGUUUGCAGGAACAACACCAGGGCACUGUGUCUCCACUAAUACGUCUUCAACAUCAGCUGCAUCCUUUUCCUAGCGUUUCUCUCCUUUUUUCUCUGCCACCCCUGUGAAGAUACUCUCUCUCUGUCUUUGUUUUCCAGAUUUUCUAGUGCACGUUGCUGGUGGGCUACAGCUGUCUGUUGACACUGCUUCAGAAAGUUGUUGCUUGAAGAUCUCAUUUUGAACUUCCUCGUCAAGAGACUCUUGUUUGGAUUUCUCUCUGUGUGGGUGGACAUUCAGAAAAUCCAAAGCGUUUCCCAACUCAGACCUUAUUCUAUCUUUUUUCCAUGCAUGGGGAAUAUUGCCACUUGUCAAACCUUCUCCUCUCGUUGACAUGUUGCUUGUUCCAAUAAAAAAACAAAACUAAUCUUCCAAAAAAUGGCCGCGAAUGAUAGGUGAUUUCCUACAAAAAUGCUGUACACCAUCAAAUUAUCACUGAAUAGCAAACAUUAAGGCAGAUAUUUGUCGGAUUGGAGAACUGAAUGAGGGAAGAAUGGGCUGUCCGCCAUUCUCACUCUGACCUCUUCACAGGCAACUUGUCACAGUUGCCUGUUUCGACUCUGCCCAUCCCUGCUUUUACACAAAUAGACAAAAUUCAACAUAUUAAUACUUACAAAUAGCAGAAAAUUGGUAUAAAACUCAAUGGCAAUCACUAAUUAAUGACUUAUUUUUACACACACACUAAUAGACUAGCAAUGUACAGCAUCUGGCUUUAGUUAAGAGGCCUCUUCAACAGCAAAUGUACUGAUAAGUCUUUGUUGGAAAGGUAAACCAAUAAAUUUAUUAACUGCUGCCUUCCAUUUAGAUAUACCAGUUUCAGAGUGCUGUCCAUGCCUUAUACUUAAAUUAAAUGGGGCUACCCUCAAUGUAAUUAAUUCCACCUGCGCUUUUACUUCUAUGUCAAAACUUGGUCUAAUCAUUUGGUGGACUUCACAUUUAGUGGAUAUAUUAUCUGGAGUAAUUGACCCUGAGUUAAAUAAUAAGAAGGUUUCAUUGUGUUGUCCAAAGACACAUGACUGUGAUGGACAACCACUACUUGUUUCAGACACCGGGUCAUCUGUGCUCACUAACUAAACACUCAGUGUGGUAAAGACUUGAUGGUUUGUUACAGUCAGUAAUUGUAGGCAGACCUGACAUUGACAAAGUGCAGGGUCAUUCAUAUCUGACAUCAGGGAGUGGUGGCGGGGGUUAACGUUUACACUGUGGGUGCCCCGCCCCCCCUGCUGCCCAUCAAUUACAUCACCAUCUGAUUACAUCAUCUCCCACUGGGACUGGUGAGACAUCCCAGUGUCUCCUCAUGAUUGGCCCUCUGCGGUGGCGUCCUGUCCAUACCACAGCGCAAGAUGCUGUCAGAUAAACAGUGGAGCUAUUGUGAGACAGCAAAGACCUCACCCCCUGUUAUUGUCUGUCUGUCCAUCUCUCACUUUGUCCGCUAUAAUUCAACAGAACUGCGACGAGAGUUCAGUCAGAGUUAACGGCUUCACUUGCUCUGAGGCCGCCUUGAAAGCAGACAGUAAUCUCAAGACUGACUGAGGCAGUGAAAUACAAGUGUGGCCAAAGAAACUCAGCUUUGAUCGUGUGUCUCACAUAGUUUAAAGCCUGUUAUUACUCUGCAGGUAAGGUUUCACUCACUUAAGUGGGGUGUUACAUAAACUCAGAUCGACCCCUGAAGUGUUUCACAACGGCGAUGCACAGGUAAUCUGAGCAUGACUAAAAUCAUUAUCAGUGGUGCUGGUUUUUAUCAGUGCUUCUGAGUUUUGAAAGGUGUUUAGAUAUCAGUGUUGACAUUCUGAUGUUUAGCAGAUGUAAUCUUAAUCAUGACUAUCCUAAUUUAGUAUGUUCGUAUACUAACAGACAUGCUAGCACCUUUAGCAAGGUGUGGUGUGUUUAAUUUGCACUGAGAAGUCGGAAUGUCUGAGUUCUCAGUUGGCAAUUUCAACUGGAACUAGAAAAUCAGACAAACCUCAACAACCCCACCCUCAAAAUCCAAUAUGGCUGCCGUGAGUAUCAACAGUAAUGAAAGCUGUAAUCGAAACUCUGGCGCCGUAGCCCCCAUGUCAAGAAAAAAUGUU